rnacentral:tRNA from 1 species
AGGGCUAUAGCUCAGUGGUAGAGCACUUGCCUAGAAAGCACAGGGCCCCAAGUUCAAAUCCUCAGCUCUG